GCCGGGGUAGCUCAGCCUGGUUAGAGCGCAGGACUCAUAAUCCUGAGGUUCGCGGGUUCGAUCCCCGCCCCCGGCACCA
rnacentral:tRNA from 2 species